AGCGAACGCUGGCGGCGUGCUUAACACAUGCAAGUCGAACGUGAAAUGUAGCAAUACAGAGUAAAGUGGCGUACGGGUGAGUAACACGUGGGUAAUCUACCAAAGAGCCUGGAAUAACCGACCGAAAGGUUGGCUAAUACUGGAUAGUUCAAAUGAAAUAUAAUGUUUUGAUUGGGAAAGGGAGCGAGCAAUCGCCUUCACUUUUUGAUGAGCCCGCGUCUGAUUAGCUAGUUGGUAGGGUAAUGGCCUACCAAGGCGACGAUCAGUAGCUGGUCUGAGAGGAUGAUCAGCCACACUGGAACUAAAACACGGUCCAGACUCCUACGGGAGGCAGCAGUGGGGAAUCUUGCGCAAUGGACGAAAGUCUGACGCAGCCACGCCGCGUGAGUGAAGAAGGCCUUCGGGUUGUAAAGCUCUGUCGGAAGGGACAAAAACGUUUAAGGUUAAUAGCCUUAGAUCUUGAUGGUACCUUCAAAGGAAGCACCGGCUAACUUCGUGCCAGCCGCCGCAGUAA
rnacentral:rRNA from 1 species